rnacentral:rRNA from 1 species
GUGGGGAAUUUUGGACAAUGGGCGCAAGCCUGAUCCAGCAAUGCCGCGUGCAGGAAGAAGGCCUUCGGGUUGUAAACUGCUUUUGUACGGAACGAAACGGUCCUGGUUAAUACCUGGGGCUAAUGACGGUACCGUAAGAAUAAGCACCGGCUAACUACGCGCCAGCAGCCGCGGUAAUACGUAGGGUGCAAGCGUUAAUCGGAAUUACUGGGCGUAAAGCGUGCGCAGGCGGUUUUGUAAGACAGGCGUGAAAUCCCCGGGCUCAACCUGGGAAUUGCGCUUGUGACUGCAAGGCUGGAGUGCGGCAGAGGGGGAUGGAAUUCCGCGUGUAGCAGUGAAAUGCGUAGAUAUGCGGAGGAACACCGAUGGCGAAGGCAAUCCCCUGGGCCUGCACUGACGCUCAUGCACGAAAGCGUGGGGAGCAAACAGGAUUAGAUACCCGGGUAGUCC